rnacentral:rRNA from 1 species
CCCUUAGAUGUCCAGGGCCGCACGCGCGCUACACUGAAGGAAUCAGCGUGGCUUUCUCCCUGACCCGAAAGGGUUGGGAAACCCGUUGAAUCUCCUUCGUGAUAGGGAUUGGGGCUUGAAAUUGUUCCCCAUGAACGAGGAAUUCCCAGUAAGCGCGAGUCAUAAGCUCGCGUUGAUUACGUCCCUGCCCUUUGUACACACCGCCCGUCGCUACUACCGAUUGAACGGUUUAGUGAGGGCCUCGGAUUGGUCUCGGCCCGCUCUUUACCGGGCGGCGCCGUUGGUCGAGAAGACGCUCGAACUUGAUCGUUUAGAGGAAGUAAAAGUCGUAACA